rnacentral:lncRNA from 1 species
CCUUAGUGAGAUAGUACGGAGUAUCUUCUCUCUUUGGGUGAAUGGUGGUCGGUAGGCAUCCUCUCGUAAUUGGCUCUUAAUCUGUAAGAAGAUGAUGAGACGUGUUAUGGAAGGUUGAUGUAGAUAAUAUCACUAGCCCCCCAGUUUGGGAGGGAUGUUUACACACCUCGUUAUGGAGUCCCUUCUCGAGCUUUUAGAGACAUUUUUGCAUGAAGAGAGACGUGGAAGGUUGUGAAGCCUGCAAGGCGACUUUCGUAUGAGGAAGAUGUAGAUGCAAACUUAAACAAAUUUGAUUUAAGAUGGAUGU